ACUCGCCCGCCCCGCCAGGCCCGCGCCUGAGGGGACGGACUCCCGCCCGCCCUCACACCGCGCCUCACGCCAGGCCCCCGGGGCUUCGGGUAAAUCCUGCCUCUGGAAUGCAGAGUGAUGGAUGCUGUCCACCUCAAAAGACGUCAGAAGCUUCAAGGAAGAUGUCCUAGGGGGACUGUGCUGUGAAACAGACGAAGCAGUGAAGAAGAGUUCUUGCUAUGGAGUACCCAUGGACACUGUCGCCCCUGAUGUCCGUAAGCUAGUGUGGUUCUCAAGCACUACCUUGUCGGCUGAGGGAGGGUGCCCCCCUGUGAUGGGAGAGAGGCUGAGGGCUGCACCGGCUGCUGCGAUGAUGCUUGUUGCUGCAUGCGAUCCUGAAGGCUUCGUG
rnacentral:lncRNA from 1 species